rnacentral:rRNA from 1 species
UACGUAGGGGGCAAGCGUUGUUCGGAUUUACUGGGCGUAAAGGGCGCGUAGGCGGCCACCGCAAGUCGACUGUGAAAUCUCCGGGCUUAACCCGGAAAGGUCAGCCGAUACUGCGGGCUAGAGUGCAGAAGGGGCAACUGGAAUUCUCGGUGUAGCGGUGAAAUGCGUAGAUAUCGAGAGGAACACCUGCGGCGAAGGCGGGUUGCUGGGCUGACACUGACGCUGAUGCGCGAAAGCGUGGGGAGCGAUCCGG